GAAUGUGAGGGUGAUCUGGCUGCCCCAUCUGUCACCCCAUUGAUCACCAGGGUUGAUUUGGUUAAUCUGGCUGGCUAGAUGAGCGCCCCCUCCCUUCCCCACCACUCCAUGUGUGUCCCCCUCCAAGCUGCACCCUCCUCAAAGAGGAUGGGCUUCCCUGAUAAAGGAGGACUGUUCUUCUGUCAGGGGUAUACGAGUAAUGGUGCUCCCCUGCUAGAACCUCCAGACAAGCUUUCAAGAUUCGUUUGUAGGUGAAUGUAGGGUAGUCGAGCUUCCAGGAUUCCAGACACGUUCAAAUAAGGUGCUGCAUGUGGCAGUCUGCUUUUCUUU
rnacentral:snRNA from 1 species